rnacentral:rRNA from 1 species
UACGAAGGGUGCAAGCGUUACUCGGAAUUACUGGGCGUAAAGCGUGCGUAGGCGGUUUGUUAAGUCUGUCGUGAAAGCCCCGGGCUCAACCUGGGAAUGGCGAUGGAUACUGGCGAGCUAGAGUACGGUAGAGGAGAGUGGAAUUCCCGUGUAGCAGUGAAAUGCGUAGAGAUCGGGAGGAACAUCAGUUGCGAAGGCGGCUCUCUGGACCAGUACUGACGCUGAGGCACGAAAGCGUGGGGAGCAAACAGG